rnacentral:RNase_P_RNA from 1 species
GAAGCAGAUCGGGUGACCGCUUUCUGCCUUAUGGGCAGACAGAGGAAAGUCCGGGCUUCAUAUAGCGGCGUAGCGGGUAAUGCCCGUCCAUCGCAAGAUGAGGAUAAGAGCCACAGAGACGAGUCAGGUCCUGCUUGCGGGAUCUGGGUGAAACGAGGCAAUCUCUACGCGAAGCAAGACCAAAUAGGGAAGGAACCAGGAAAAUUCGGUACGUGAGGAUGGACUGGUGCGGAGCGGCUAGUUCCGUUAUAACUUCCGGGUAGGUCGCAUGAGGCUCGCAGCAAUGCGGGUCCCAGAUGGAUGGUCACCGGGCAGGUAUUCCUGUCUACAGAACCCGGCUUACAGAUCUGCUUCAAUA